UACGUAGGGUGCGAGCGUUAAUCGGAAUUACUGGGCGUAAAGCGUGCGCAGGCGGCUUUGCAAGACAGAUGUGAAAUCCCCGGGCUUAACCUGGGAACUGCAUUUGUGACUGCAAGGCUAGAGUGCGGCAGAGGGGGAUGGAAUUCCGCGUGUAGCAGUGAAAUGCGUAGAUAUGCGGAGGAACACCGAUGGCGAAGGCAAUCCCCUGGGAUAACACUGACGCUCAGGCACGAAAGCGUGGGGAGCAAACAGG
rnacentral:rRNA from 1 species